AGAUACCACAAAGUCUGAGCAGUCGCUGAGCUGGGAGAAACAGAAGAGGAAGACACAGUUGGAUGCCACCUCUGGUUCAGAUGUUGGCAGCCCUGGACAGGACAAGGGAAAAUGCUUCAGAAGGACUUCAUUGGCUAUAAAGUGUUUUCUGGGAUGAAAAGUGCAAUAUGUACGGUGGAGAGCAUCCUGACUGGUUGCAUCACCACCUGGUAUGGUGGUGGUCCAAUGCACAGGAUCCCAAGAGGCUGGAGAGGGUUUUAGACUUAGCCAGCUCCAUCACAGGAACAACCUUCCCCACCAUCAAGGACAUCUUCAAGAGGCGGUGCCUCGGGAAGGCAGCAUCCAUCACUAAGGACCCUCACCAUCCAGGACAU